CUAAGAGAUUCAGGCAAAAGCCAAAGUUCUCUUUGCCUGUAAGGCUCUGGAGACCUGGCCAGUAACAAAUACUCGGACUUCAUACCUCGACUGUCUUGCUCCUGGCUCCACCCAACAAGCAGGCUUUCCUGCCUCUCUCAGCAUAUAGAGGUGUGGAAACGGAUGGGCUGCUGAAGCAGGGCGGGCAGACUGAAACUGUUGCCGGGCCUCAACAGUUUCCCUGCCUAGAAAUCGGCCUGAAGCUGAUCUUUCUCUUCAUAAAAGAAACAAGUAAGUCUGUUGGCUUUCUCCUCGCCCGCCAGCUUUUCUGCCCAAGCUCAGCGCUCCUCUGUGGG
rnacentral:lncRNA from 1 species